GACUUUUAUUCAGGACUAAUAGACCUGUCAUUUGAGUAUAGGGGUGAGGUGUAGGCUGAAAACAUAGUAUUUAGUGAAAGUCUUCAAAUUGAACUAUGGGAUCCUUAGUCAUCUCUUUUAUUCCUAGACUUUCUGAAGAAAUGUGUAUAGGAAACUCUGAAUGACCCUAAAGAAAAUAUCCUGAAGUAGUGAAAUCUGAAUUUCUUCCCACAAAAAGUGCCUAACAUAAUGAAAACCCAAAUCAUGGCAUAUCAUUAUAAACUUACAGAAUAAGAAUAAAGAAGAAAAUCCUAGUCUUCCUGAAGUUCAAACAGGUCAUGAAAUAAAAGAUCAGGAAUAAGAAUGGCAUUAGACACCUCAAGAGCAAAACUGAAAUAUAAAGAAAAUAGUGUGGGACGCUCACAAUUAAAGAAACAUAAAUUCUAACUCAGCUAAGUGUGAGGAUAAAGAUAUUUGCAAACUUUCAGAGUCUCUUUCCCCCAUCCCCCAGGAACCGACGGGAGGAUAUGUUCCAUUAAAAUGAAGGAGUAGACCAAGAAAAAGGAAGAAGCAGAAUCCUGAAAAGAGGGGAAGAUAUUGUUCAUGGAAUUAUCAGGAAGAUGGUUGUGGACCAGCCCUUGAGAGCAGCCAGUUUGCAUUGGAGCCGGCGAACGGGAGAACCGGACUGAUAUCGCCAGGGAAGAAAAAGGCAGUUGCCUGAUACAGACGGAGACACUUGUCCAAGAUUCGGGAGACCGGGAUACUUUUCCUGCCCUCAGGUCCCGUAAACCUACUGCAAUCCUUCCUACAAAGUCUUUUCUGCAUUGAAACUGGGGUACCGGGGAGGUUGUUGCUUGUGGCUAAAAAUAUUUAGCAGAAGAAUUUUAAUAGCGAAGUGGAUGAACAACAUAAAUAGCUCUGUUACAACUGAGAAAAUAGACCCAGGGAAGUAUAUUCUACAUCAUUGAAGAAUAAAGAAGCGCAACAGAAACA
rnacentral:lncRNA from 1 species